UUUGACCACGCGGAUGAACAGUAACACGGUUUGACCCGACUUUGAACAGUAACGCGGUUUGACCCGGAUGAACAGUAACGCGGUUUGGUUGAAACUAAUCCUGUGUGAUGCAUGCACCGUACGCGAGAUUUUUCGUCCACUGAUAUACUGCCACGUCACCAUCAACAGUACAUAAGAAUUUUAGCCCAACAGGAUCGUGACACCUCAUCAGUCAAUGCCACGUCAUCAAUCUGUCUAUGUGAACAGUGCCGUGAACAGUAACGUAUACAGUACUGUGUACGUGAAUAGUACCGUACAUGUGAAUAGUGUCAUUUUUCCUUUUAUGGUCCUCCUAAGGUUUUCGACCGUCCUGAGUUCAAAAGUGAUGUCCGUUUUGCCGUCUGAUCUCUCCUUUAUUGUGAAAUGACUAUAAUGCCCCUAGAAUACAUAAAUUACUUAAUUAAAAUAAAACACACGUAAUUAAAUCAUAAGAAUGUUAAAUACAUAAAAGUAAGGGUUGUUAGUAAGACUUGAAAUGUAAAAUGACGGUUUUCUCCUUUAUAAAUAUGCAUUUUCUAACACUCAACAAGGGUGAGGGUGAUGUUGAGGGUGAGGGUGAGGGUGAGGGUGAGGUUGAGGGUGAGUGUGAGGGAGAUAGUGAGAUUGAAUGUGAGGGUGAUGGUAAAGGGAAUGUAGCUCAGUUGCUGUACAAAAAGAUAUCAAUCUUCUUUGAUUUAGAAUAUUGGGAACAUUUGUUAGUUCGCCAUCAACUAGAUGUGAUGCAUAUUGAGAAAAAUGUAUGCGAGAGCAUCUAUGGCACAUUACUCCAUCAACCGCGGAAAACAAAAGAUGAAAUUAAUGCUAGAAAAGAUCUUAUACAUCCAGACCUUAGAGAAAAAAUUAACAAAGCAUUGAUUGUAUUAGCUCCUGAUGAACAAAACAAAGUCUUGCCCCCUGCCCCGUACACUUUAAGUAAGAAGGAAAAAAAAAUGAUCUGUGAAACCUUGCAAAGUGUUAAAGUUCCUGAUGGCUAUUGUUCUAAUUUUAGAAAUAUUGUUUCAAUGGAUGAUUGUCGUCUUCACGGGCUUAAGUCUCAUGAUUGUCAUACCUUGAUGCAACAACUACUACCAUUAGCAAUUCGAAAUUGUUUACCUCAAAAUGUCAGAUCUGUCAUAAUCAGGUUGUGCCUCUUCUUUAAUUCUUUGUGUUCUAAGGUAGUAGAGCCCAAUUCUCUAGACCAAUUGCAAAAAGAACUUACAAUCACCUUAUACAAUUUAGAACAAUCUUUCCUACCUGCCUUCUUCGAUAUAAUGGUCCAUUUAACAGUCCAUCUAGUUGAAGAAGUUAGAUUAUGUGGCCCGGUUUACCUUCGAUGGAUGUAUCCAUUUGAGAGAGAAAUGAAACCUAUAAAGGGCUAUGUACGCAGCCGAUACCAUCCUGAAGGUUGCAUUGCAGAGUGCUAUAUUGCUGAGGAAGCACUUGAAUUUUGUGCUGAAUACCUUUCCAAUUGUAAUUCAAUCGGACUACUUACUAGUUGUCUAAUUGAUUUUACAGUCGAAAGGCCACUCGGAGGUGCAAAUAUUAAGAUGGUUGAUGGCCCUACAUUGGCGCAAGUGCACCGAUGUGUUUUAGAUAACACCCCCGAGAUUCAACCAUACAUAGAGUAUAUGACUGAAAAUUUGAACCUCUUUUUCGUUAAUUUUUUUUCAAUUUUAAUAAUUCUGUUGGUAUAAUUUUAGGGAGCAUUUAGCUUUAUUGCAAUCAACACACCCUCGUCAAUUAAAAAAGCCUUUAUGGUUGCCAACUGAGCACUCCCGUACGUUUGCUGAGCUGAAACAAAAGGUUAGAUUAACUUCAUUAGAUCUAAUAAAAGUAUCCAAGUAAAAGCACACAAACUUUUCUCUUUCAACUAAUUAUUGUGAUUUUAUUAAUUGAACAAUAGGUAACAACUGAUAAAGCAAAUAAUGUAGUGGUUGACGAAAACGUAUGGUGGCUGGCAAACAAACCCUGCUCAAGCGUGGUUACAUAUGAUGGCUACUGUAUUAAUGGUUUUAAUUUUGCUACAAGAGAUCGGGAUAGCAACCGUAUAACACAAAACAAUGGCGUUUAUGUAGUUGCUAAAACUUUACAGAUUUCAAGUUCGCAAGACAAAAAUCCUCAUUCUAGGGAUAUGCCUUUUUAUGGGGUUGUUAGUGAAAUUUGGCAGCUUGAUUAUCUAGGGGUUAAGAACGUACUUUUCAAGUGCGAUUGGGUAGAUGAUAGAGGGGUUAAUGUUGAUGAGUUAGGGUUCACUGUAGUCAAUUUAGAUUGAAUAGGCUACAAAUCUGACUGUUUCAUUCUAGCUCGUCAUGCAAAGCAAGUGUUUUAUGUGAAAGAUCAGUUAGAUAAUAGUAAAUCAGUUGUUUGUUCAGUGAGCUCAAAAUGUAAUUAUUCAAAUGAGGACUUGUGUGAUGGCAUCGAUGAGUAUGUACCAUUAUCCAACAAUUUUCUAGAAUGUAAGUUAGGUUUGGGUGAUGAGGAGUUUGUGUCAGAGUAGUUGUUGAUGUUUUUCUUGUAAAUAUUGGUACGGAAAAUGAAUAAUCCAACUACUAUGCCUUAUUACCACUAUUUCCCGUAAGUCACCAACAAAUUUGUUUUUUAUUAUUUUAUUAUUAUAUUAGGAUAUUAGAUUGGUAUGUGGUGCACUCAUCCACUUUGAUGUAUUUGCAGGUUUGUUGGAGACAUGGCAGAAAAAGAGGAGCCAACAUUUGAUCCAGAUCUAGAAGGCAGACCAAGACGAAACCUUACAAAGAAGAAAGACCUGCAGAGAGGAGCUAGUGACGACACUGAGGUUAUGUACAAUUCUUUCGGAGUUCCAGUUGGCAAAAAGAGAAAUGAUAUGAGGAACUACAUUGGGGUGAUUGUACGGGAAAGAGUUCCAAUUAUCUAUGAUGAUUGGAGGAAAGUGCCACUAGACAUCAAGGAGACAUUAUUGACUCAUUUUUAGGAAAAGUUUAAGUUGAGUCUUAAGGCGAAAACCCAAGUGUUCAAGUGGAUGGGAAUUGCAUUAAGGGGCUUUAGAUGUAAGUUGGCCAAUGAAUAUAUUCUGCCCAAUGCAAACAACUUGAGUUCACUGAAAAAGCCUCCUCUUGAGUAUGAAAGCAUUAGAAAAGAGGACUGGAAGAGCUUUGUUGAUAAGAUUUUAUCUGAAGCCUUUCAGGUAUGUUUAAAAUUAUGUUAGUUAAAUAAUAUUAUUGAGUUCAUGUAACCAUUUUAAUCAAUAUCCGCUUUGUGCAGGAAAAAAGUAAGGCAGCAAAGGAAAAAUUAGCAAAGAAUAUGUACAAUCAUCACUUGGGCAGCACAGGAUAUGCUGGGUUGUUGCAUAAAAGAGUAAGUAUAAUAACCACUCUAUACAAACUUAUGACAUUUUCAAUACAAAUAAUAGGAUGAUUCAUACCAGUUUUCAAUUUAAUUUUUGUUGAAUUAUUACAGCAGUUGGACCUCGGAGUUACUGAGUACGAGAUUGACUGCAGUGAAGCCUGGUUAUUGGCUCAUAGGAGAAAAGAUGGAACUUAUACACUUGAAGUGCAGCAAGUGGCUGAGAGAAUUGUAAGUUUCCACCACCACUGCCAUUAUUUAACUUAUUUGUUUUUUUAUUCCUAAUUUUGAUCAAAUUAUUUUUGUAUUUAUUUUGUAGAGUGAGCUAAGAAGUUAAGUUGAGCAGGGAACGUUCCAAUCCCAAGGACCGAAUGAUAUCCUAGGUGAAGCACUUCAAAAGAAGCCUAAUGGAAGUCGGGUACAAGGAUUGGGUCAAUUCAUCACCCCAUCCAUGUAUUUCAAUGUCCCUAACCCCACGGAGUUGGCACGAGAACGGAAAAUGUAUCAGGAGAGUUUUCAGUUUAUGCAAGCUCAAUAGAUCAAAUGAAUGCAAGGAUCAACGCCNN
rnacentral:lncRNA from 1 species